CCUGGAGAGAAGGAAGUCAUCUAGAUUAGUCCUGAGGAUACAGCAUUGCAGAGGUGAGUCUGGUCCUUGGGCUAACAUUUUCUCUAGGUCCCUGGUUUGCAAAUACCUCAUACACCCUGUCUUGUGGAACCCUGGCCAUGACAUCACAAGGUCAGGUGCACUUAGUUAGUUCAAGGUCGUGCAGCUCUGAGUGGCAGAGCUGAGGCAGGUGGAAAUCCCACUUGAGCAGCUACCAUAGACAAAGCCGUGUGCUCAGCCACUUUCCCCUUUUUGGUAUCUUGUCAGGUUCCUGUGCUGAAGGGCUCAGAUCUACAUAGCAAAGUUGCCUGGUGGGCUGAGAAUGAGGCCCCUAGGAAAGAGAUGGAGGCCAGGCAGGAAGAGCCAGUGCAGAAAGAAACGGAGGCUGUCCCCACAGGCCGGUAGAUCUUUCUUGUUCCCAUGCUGACGGACCCUACUACACUGCUCCACCUCUCCAGCUUGUACCCCGUGAGCCUGCUAACAAGAAAGGUCAGGCCUGGCUAGAGAGGCUCAGGAUGAGCACACUUAGAAAUCCCAUUAUUCCUUUCUAUAGAACAAUACACGUCAACAGGAGGCAGAAAUGACAGCAGAUCCUGGCUUCACAGCUCAGAGUAAAACAGGCAAGACACAGUGACCUACCAAAAGAAUGGGGUAAGGGGAAUGAGCUUGUGUCCUCUCUGCUGCUUGGGUGCUAGUUUCCUAACCAUGGCCAAGGGGGCUGGGCAAAUAGUCAGGACUAUCCCUGUCAGUCCAGAUCUCUAAGCACUGAGGGGGAGGUGGGCAAGCCGAGCAGGCCCUUAGGCAAGCCUUCCUGGUGGCCAAGAAUAAGCAGUGUCAAGCUAGGAUGCUUGGCAGAGCCUGGAGGUACAGCUCUGUGUUCUGGGGAGGUCUAGGCUAACAGGAAGGGUGUUGUUUUUGGUUCACAGUUCUUCCUUCUAAAGUAACACCUCAGGCCAGGGGAGGGCCAAGAGGCCAGUGUCCAUAUUGCCCUCUGCUCCAGACCAGGCACUUCUGAGGGCAUGAACUAGAGCUUCAAUACACAACCCCGGGCAGGCCAGGUCAAGACGAGGGCUCGGAUGCUAUGAGACCAGUGAAUGGGUAGGACUGGGUCAUGAAGAUCUGGUUUAGAUCAGGUUGGAAGGAGACUGCCUCUGCAGUAAAUGCCUCAUUCAUUCCACUAGAACCAAUGGUAGUGGUCUACUGUGGAUAUACCCUUUGGGUUCUCUGAGAGACUUUUAAGCUUCUGUGUGCCUCAUCUCAAGAUCCUGAGAUCUUUGGUGUUUAGAGGAUACUUGUCCCAUUCGGUGCUCUGGCUGUAGCUAUAGACAGAUCUUUUGGGUCACUAGUUGUGGCUUACAUUUUCUUUAAUCCUCUGCUACAGUAAAAGGGAACUAAGAGGCUAAGCCAGAUGGAAACAGGUCUUGACCAUUAUUUAUGAGUUAGGGCCUCACUAUGUACCUCUGAUCAGAGGCACUGGUCUUUAAUCAUUUGUCAAGUCCUAAAACCAGACCUUUCUUUCCAUAUCUGUUAGAGGUUAUGUCUCUACUCUGGAGACUUACACAAUUCUGCUCAGUUCAUGAAAUGACCACCAGACUACUGCUGGUGGCUCAUCAAGGCUCCUAUAAGUUUAGGAUCUAUUCCCUCUGAUCAGUUCACGUGGACAAUAGACAGACAUGGUUCCUGUCUUCAUAGAGGACUCAAGAUAGAAGGGGAGGUGAACACGGACCCACCCAGCAGUCAGAGAUGAGGCUUGGAGCUUGGGAACAUGGGGGAAAGAAGCCAUUAGCAAUAGCUGAAAUGGGCCAGGCAGGCUUCAGUGAGUGCUGGGAGCUAAGAUAGCUGAGGUUCACUGGAGCUGGGGUGGGAGUGAGGCCGCCAAAAGGAGGAAGGGCACACACAGCCUAUAGCUGCCAUGGGGUCCUGUCAUCCUUGGAGCUGAGGCUAGUGUGGCUGAUUCAGCCAACCUUCCAGUACCCACACCCAGACCCGGGGGACCUUAUCUGUAUAGCCCAGGCCUAGAGCCCAGGGCAGAGAGGGUGGAGAUACGUAUGCUUAGUAGUACCUGUUGACUUUAAAGGGGUUGAGCAAACGUCUUGAUUAGUAAGUGCUAAAGAGUCUCUUUAUCAGAGUUGCUACAGCACAUACCCCUGAAGGUCUGGGCAGCGGACGGUGUCUAAGGAGGGACAUACACCCACAUGCACUGGCCACUCCUCUCCAUGCUGCACAGCAUCACAAAGCAAGCGCCCAGCAGCCCAGCAUGCACUUUGCAGGAGCCGCCCUCCCCUCCUCCCACAGGCAAGUGGAUCAUCAGACCUUAGGGAUUCUUUAGGGUCUGGACAGAGGGGCCAUCCAUGGAUGGAAUCCCUGGAAGGGAACUUCAAGGAGGGACUAGAGAGAAACACGAAGAUGGAGUCUGAACACUAUGUGAAGGGAGAGGAUGCCAAAUGGAGGCUUGGCCUGAGCUAAGGUGUGGAGAGGGGAUUUCUCAGGUGCAGAGAGCAGUCGCCAGGGUGGACGGACUGAGGAGAGGAGCUCUAGAGUAACAGCCAUAGAAAAGGGAGCUGUGUGAACACCACCACCCACUCACGCAAACAAGCAAACAACAAACAACAAACCACAAAGCAGUCGGGGGAAGUCUCACCUGUUCCUCUUUAACCUCAACGAGCUGACCUGUAAAAGUUCAUGUGUGCGUGUGUGUGUGUGUGUGUGUGUGUGUGUGUGUGUGUGUGUGAGAGAGAGAGAGACAGAGACAGAGACAGAGACACUGACUGACUUUGUACAGGUCCCGUGGUGUGGUUUCUUCAGAGGUGCUAUUUGCUCUGCAGUGUGGUCUAAUCUCAGUUCAGAGCCUCUUCAUUACACCUCUAGAUUUACUUCAUCAGAGGCUAUGUGCUUGUGGGGAGUGGUGGGUACAGGUGACUGUCUCUAGUCUUCUGUAAGCUUCUCCAGUCCUUUCUCAGUGGACAUGUAGUGAGAUGAAUGGAAGGAAUACUGGUUUGUGGUAUAGAUGACCCAUUUCACUUAUUUAUAAGUAAGAUGGUUUCUGUUAGUGGGUCUCAGUGAUCACUGCCAAGCAGAGUUAGUAAACUCUGGUUUUCUUUCUCUGGUUUACUAUGAAACUCAAACUUCAGAUCUCAUGGAGGCAAAUGACAGGUACAUCGGGCAAAACACAGGAGCUCUGCUGGAGCUAGGGGUGACCCUGGCUAGACACCAGAGCAAAACAAAGCUUUUAUUCUUAUCUUAGGUCCUGAGCAGAACUAGGGUUUGGCAGCUCCCCAAGGGAGCUUAGGGCUUGGCUAGGCAAGUGCUCACAACCACCCACAAGACCCCAAGUGAUCCUCUAGAUUGGGCUCAUGGCUGAAGCUCUGCUCUUUUCCAGAGCAGUGCCCUUAAGUGAGAAACAACCCUGGAGAGAUAAAACUGAAAGCAAACAGCUGCCCUGCCCGGUGAGGCUGCCUGGACGGCUGCCUCAGAGGUUGUGUGAGGGCUCUACACAGCUGCCACUGGGCUCAACUUUCACCCCCUUGGCUGGCUGCCUUUCUCUGGGGCGGCUCCCACUAUCCACUCCUAAGGUAGCAACAAGGACUUCCCAGACACUGAAGACAGCAGAGAACUCAGCAGCCACAGCUAUGAGUCGGGGGAAGUGGGGACAGGACACUCAGACCAGAGUCCCAGCCCUGGGCAGAAGAUUGAAAUUUAACCAAGCCAGUUACAGCAUGGCUGGCCCCCCCCAGCUCCCUUCCCAUCCCUGUUAGCACUCUCCCCAUGGGGCUCUUCUACCUAAGUAUUCCCUCUGUGCCUUACCACCUGGCACUUCUGUCCUUCUGAGAAGCCGUUUCUAACAGGGCCAGCCCACAGGGUUCCUGUUUACACUGUCACUGGUCCCCAGUUUCCACAAUGAAGAGCCCAGGAGAGCCAGACAGACUCCUUAGCACGCUAACCAGUGCUGACUAGUGGGAAGUUUCCAAAGUCCAGACUCCAUAGAGUCAGUGCCUGGCAGAGUUCCUGGACCCUGCUGCACACCAGCCUGCUCAGGUCUUGACAGGCAUAGCACAUGCCGGCAGGUCUACAGACCUUACCUGGGAGGUAAACACUAACUUGCGGUUUGGGUCAGGCUAGGUACCAACUAGUUCUGCCUUCUUUCCAACUCCUGUAUAUUCUCACCCAGGUUACUCAUCUUCUUUCAAAAGUUUCAGGUAGCCUUUAGCAGAACCUUCCUGUGACCUUUAGGUCUUUUCUUGAAUUCUGCAGAGUGCUAGGGACUUGGUGGUUCAAAGAAAAUGAAACAGGUCAGGAUCUUUGUUAACAGGAGGAGCAAAGCCAUAAGGCCAGAGCCACAGUCAUGAGGGCCCUGGGCUUCAGGAAGUUCCCUUGGACCUGUCUCCCUUCUGGUAUGAUCUGGUGAAGCUCUGCUGGCAGCUAUGCAAAGGCCAUAGUUCCAGUCAGAUGCAGGGAAAGACAGAACCACUGGCCCCUUACCCAGGGAGCUUGCGUUCCACAGCAGAGGCAGCUCUUCAGAACAGACCAGAUCGGAGCGUGCCUGUUAAGAGGCCACCCAUGCUGGAGCCCUUCACCCAUGUUCCUCUAAGUACCCACAGUAAAAUUCAUGGCUCACCAGAUUGGACUUUGGUGGUAUCCAAGCUUUGGUCUGUUAUAGUAUACCUAUCUGGGGUGAAUAGAUAUGUGUUCUGUCUCCUCAGGAAACGUUUUGUUAUACACAAUAAAAUGGGAUCUACAAAUGGAGAUUCAAGGCUGGACUUCUCCCUCCCUUCCCCUCUCCCUCUAAGCUGAGCAUUGCCUGGAACAAUAUUGAGAAAUCACGUGUUUCCGUCAGGAUCUCAAAGGCCAUCCUGAACUUUUGACUCUCCUGUCUCGGCCUUGAAGUACUUAAGAUUACAGGCAGGCACUACCACGUUCAGUUUCUCUGGUGCUGGGGCUAAGGUACCCUAGCAGGACAUCUCUAAAAUGCUAAAACUCAAGUUGGCUUUUAUUCUAUAGCCAGUGAAAAUCAGUUUAAAAAUGAAGGUGACAUCAAGCACCUGGGAGCUGUAAAGCAGAGGGGCCUGGAUCCUAGCAGGUCCCCAGCCAUGGAAGCACUAAGGAAGCCCUCAGGCCCGGGGACUGCCCCAGCAAGAGCCCGGAUGAGAGAGAAAGAAGCGCACAAGAAGAGCAAGUACUCGGGAAAAUAUCUAAGACCACUCUUUGCUAAAAUUCUUCAAAGCAAGGCCACUGUGUGUGUGUACAUGGUUUGGUUCAUCUGUCUGUGUGCCAGAGGCCGAUGCAGGGAGGCUCUGCCUUAUCUGUUCAGCCAGAGCUGUUCCCCGAGCUCGCAUUUUUGUUUGGUUGGCCUGUGACCUCCUAGGAUCCCUUCCUUCUACGUGGUGCGGAGGAUCUCAACUCAGGUCAGGCUUGUCACAGGCCCUUUUCCAUGGAGGCCAUUUUUAAGACUUUCAGAGACUUUAAAGUUUGAUGUGAUUCUGUAAUUUUCAUAAAUCUAAAGUAAAUGUAAGACACUCAAAGUUCUGAUAACCCAUGGAAAAUUAUUUCAGUGCUUUAAAAUUUUAAUUUGAAAAAAAAAAAUGUUUCUCUGAACUUUGGAUGCCUGUCACUAGUGUCAAACUGUACACAGAGCUGUUAAAAAACGGUGGUGUUUAUUUGGGACUAAGCAGGAAGCACUGUAGUGUGAAUACGUGUGCCAAGGGAACCACGGCACCCAGAGUGGCUUUCCCAUAAUGGCAGUGCCACUAGCAAUUCCAUAAGUUCAGGCUGGACACUGACCUGGGAACGAGAAGGAUUGCUAGUGGAUAAACAAGUGUAAAGUCGGCAUUCCUCGGAAAUGUGGGAAGUGGGCUUCUGUCAGGAAAAGCCAUUCCUUUUCCUUAUGUGCCCCUAUAGCCUCCAACUCCCAGGCUUUGGGCAUCUAGUUCCCUAUUAACACACACCUGUAACACAUAUCAAAGUCACCCCCCCCCCACAGCUCCCGGGCUCUUCUGCAUAGCAGUACCCCUUUGCCCCCCGCUAUUCCAGCUUCCAUGCUUCCUCCCUUUGCAAACCUCUUUAAAACUGGCAAGCCUUUCCUUGUCUUUGCUAUUCUAGUCUCUGUCCCACAAGAGAUAGCCUUGGCAGUCUGAGUAAAUAUGUCUAUCCACAGAGUGGUCUUAUUUGUGGUCUCACUGUACCCUUGCUCACAGGGAGCAUCUAAAGGCAACAAAGAAGACAUAUUCAUUCAAAACAAUCCUGGCUCCAAGGACUAAUAACAAAAGGGUGUCUGUCUAAGGACUAACGUUAAGGGUGGACCCAGUCCAGUGCUGACUGGACAGUGCUGGGCAGAUAUCCUCACACAAGUCUGUGUGAGGCUGCACUUCAAGGUAUCCAUUUGUGGGAGUUCUUGAUAACAGGUGCUCAUGCGCAAAUUCCCCUUCUUUAAAAAUUUCUACUUUAUCAUUAACAUUGCCGGAGCAAGACAUGGCAACUCCACUUUGGUAAGUUUCACACUAGUGCUUAACCACACAGGCAAUCUAACCAGCACCAGCAGGCUUCCAGCCAAAAUCUGUCUCCUGGGGUUUCUUGGCCUGGAACCUCCCAGUGCUGAAACUGGGAAAACUGUGAUGACACUGGCUCUCCUAACUGGGACCCAGACUGAAGUCCUAAGGACAGAAGUGGCCCCAAGGGCAGCUGUGCUAUGGGCAAGCCAAGGAAAGGCAAGAACUGCAUAAAGCUCAUCUUCCUGAAACGCAGGGUGCCCUUUAAGGGAAGGGAGAUUUUCAUCUCUUCCUUUUCCCAUCCCACACUGUGUCUAGAAAAGACCAAGACAGUCUGUCCCUGGGGGAGGAACCACGUCACAAAGGCACAAAUACAGAAACAGGAACAUCGUUUUGGCUGGCAGUUUUGUCUCAGUGGCUUAUGGAACUCUUCCUGAGGAGCAUGACUCGCUGACCCUUCACCCACUUGGCUGGCCCAGAGGGUGGCAGGGCGAUGGACUCAACUGUGCCUACUUAAUUCUCACCCUCACCCGUUAACCACCCAUUAUUAGCUCGGCAUUACUUAGAACAAAACUGAGACUCAGUAAGGUCAAGCCACAGGCCUAAGAUCCUUUGCUUACUCACUAGCAGGCCCAGUGUUUAGUUCCAUGGAUGCUGUAUUUCAAGCUCAUGCUCAGUGCCCGGGCACAGCCCCCAAAGCCUAGUGCAAAUGUCUUAGCCAUGUGUGUGCCCUGUCAGAAGAGGUAAGAGGACAGAGGUGAAGCAGAGGCGGAAUAAGACCACGACAGGAUCCCUGAGGGAGCAGCAUCUCUGCCUCUGGAAGCAAUCUAGGGAGACAGGUAGGACCUCAGAUCAAACUAUCCUCCAAACAUGUUUUGGAAACACACUGGGGAGGCUGGAGAGGGGGUUAGAAAGCCAGUGAAUGGUUCAGACGUCUCAAGGCUUCUCUUGAGAACCAUCAGAAGGCCCAGGGCAGGAGUUUUAUGACACCUGGAGGCCCAGUCUCAUAAGUAAAGCAAAGCAAAACAACACACACACACACACACACACACACACACACACACACACACACACACACACACACACACACGAGUGAGCGAACUCUUAACUCCCUGAGGGUCUUCAUGUGUAGAUACACUAAUGCCUUGAGGAUGUGAACAGGAAGCUCUGAGCCUCAGUUGCUCUGAGCCUGCAUAGUUGUGGUUUCAAAAUUGUGUUUCCCCAAAAGUCUCAUGUGCUGGAGGUUGGAGUCCCUUGCUGGUAGCACGAUUUUGGUAGAUUCUGAAAGUUUCAGGAGGAGGGGCCUGGCUUGAGGGAGUAAAUGAGCCUUGGGUUACAUUCAGCUCACUGGUCCUUCCCUGUUUACCUGUUUCUGACUGCUGUAAGGUGGGCAGCUUCCAACACAUCUGUGCAGCCAAGGACUACGGACUCUACAGACUACAAUCUCUGAAGUAAGCCUUUUCCCCUUUAAGCUGCUUCUGUCUGGUAGCCUGCCACAGCGCCAACUCAGACAUACCCAUUUACUGUAUGGAGACAAUCACCUGGCUAUCCCAUCCAGUUGCUCGGAGUUAAAACAGUCUGUGUACGGUACUUAGAAUAAUGUCUAAGUGAAGGAAGCAUUGAACAGGAGCAAUCAACAGUGAACAGCAAACACAUUUUGUUUAUAAUCUAUAUUUGUCUCUGAAAAAAGGUUUUGAGAGCUCUGAGACGCCCGCUCUGUCACCUACACACCAGUCCCCGGCUCCUUUCUCUACACUAGUGAUGCUCUCUUUCAUUUAAACGUGGCACUCUACAUAUUUGUUCUAAAUUAGGUCAUGCCUUCCCCAGAGGGCAUCCAAUGAGGUAAAGCAUUCAAGUGACCCUGAGGACAUGGCAAUGUAGCCUGGGGUAGGGUCACCAGUAUGGCUGGAACUUGAACAGCUAGCUCCUUCUCUCUUUAAAGAAGGAUGAGCUCGCAUAGUCAUGGUCCCCUAGGGAUGCACCUCUUAUCUGUGGUGUCCUCUGCUGUGGGUCCCUGCUUGCUUGGCUGUGGACUCUUGCUCCUAUGCUUCUGUGUUGCUUUCCCUUCCAUGCCAGUCUUAGCUGACAAGGCUCUGGCUGUCCUCAUGUUGUCCGGGCUCCUUGCCCAGUGAGGGACCCACAGGAUAUUUUCCAGGCAAGCAUAAAGGGUAACCACUAGAGCAUCUUCUCCAGGGAUUGCCCAGAGCAGCCUUUGUGCUGCAUGCUUUUAGGGAAGAGAUGCUGAUGUACGAAGGAGACCAGUGGCUGCUCUUACCUGGUCAGUUGUGGCUGCUGGUGGCAAACCUGGAGAGUGUGAGAUCAUGCGGAGAGAGGCCUCCAGUUGUUGGGGAGGCAAAAAGAAGUUGGGCACCACAACAGGUUCUGGGCUGCAAUGGUAGUUAAGGAAUAAAAUACCUAGAAGUCUACUCUCCUACCAGACCAACACCCCAGGGACCACAGUCAUACCAUCUGUGUCUCCCUCAUCCUACUUCCCACAUCCAUGAAUCCCUGGCACAAGUGGUUCCUCCUGGUUCCUCCCUCACUGGAAGACCCUGCCCACUUCUAACCCAUCUUUCCUCCUUCCUUUCCCUCUCUUUCUUUAGUCUCUACUGUAAUGAGUUCAACAUCCCAACCUCCUCCAGGAAGACUUUUCCUAUCUUAGUCACACGGUCCCCCUUUCUUUAAUUCUGAAAGUAGUCUGUGACACAGGAGAAUGUUCAAUUAUUAAAACAUUUUUUUCAAAUUA